AGUGAACGCUGGCGGUAGGCCUAACACAUGCAAGUCGAACGGCAGCACAGUAAGAGCUUGCUCUUACGGGUGGCGAGUGGCGGACGGGUGAGGAAUACAUCGGAAUCUACUUUUUCGUGGGGGAUAACGUGGGGAAACUUACGCUAAUACCGCAUACGACCUACGGGUGAAAGCAGGGGAUCUUCGGACCUUGCGCGAUUGAAUGAGCCGAUGUCGGAUUAGCUAGUUGGCGGGGUAAAGGCCCACCAAGGCGACGAUCCGUAGCUGGUCUGAGAGGAUGAUCAGCCACACUGGAACUGAGACACGGUCCAGACUCCUACGGGAGGCAGCAGCGGGGAAUAUUGGACAAUGGGCGCAAGCCUGAUCCAGCCAUACCGCGUGGGUGAAGAAGGCCUUCGGGUUGUAAAGCCCUUUUGUUGGGAAAGAAAAGCAGCAGGUUAAUACCCCGCUGUUCUGACGGUACCCAAAGAAUAAGCACCGGCUAACUUCGUG
rnacentral:rRNA from 1 species